rnacentral:rRNA from 1 species
UACAGAGGUCCCAAGCGUUGUUCGGAUUCACUGGGCGUAAAGGGUGCGCAGGUGGGUUUGCAAGUUCGAUGUGAAAGCCCCGGGCUUAACCCGGGAAUGGCAUUGGAUACUGCAGAUCUGGAGGAUCGGAGGGGGGACUGGAAUUCUUGGUGUAGCAGUGAAAUGCGUAGAUAUCAAGAGGAACACCAGAGGCGAAGGCGAGUCCCUGGACGAUAACUGACACUGAGGCACGAAAGCUAGGGGAGCAAACAGG